CGGAGGGUGCAAGCGUUGUCCGGAUUUAUGGGUUUAAAGGGUGCGUAGGCGGCCCCUUAAGUCAGUGGUGAAAGCCCGCGGCUCAACCGCGGAACUGCCAUUGAUACUGGGGGGCUUGAGUACAGACGAGGUAGGCGGAAUUGAAGAUGUAGCGGUGAAAUGCUUAGAUAUCUUCAAGAACACCGAUUGCGUAGGCAGCUUACUAGGCUGUAACUGACGCUGAGGCACGAAAGCGUGGGAGCGAACAGGAUUAGAUACCCUGGUAGUCCACGCCGUAAACGAUGAUUACUCGAUGUCGGCGAUAGACCGUCGGCGUCUUAGCGUAAAGCGUUAAGUAAUCCACCUGGGGAGUACGCCCGCAAGGGUG
rnacentral:rRNA from 1 species